rnacentral:rRNA from 1 species
GAUGAACGCUGGCGGCGUGCCUAAUACAUGCAAGUCGAGCGAACGGACGAGAAGCUUGCUUCUCUGAUGUUAGCGGCGGACGGGUGAGUAACACGUGGAUAACCUACCUAUAAGACUGGGAUAACUUCGGGAAACCGGAGCUAAUACCGGAUAAUAUUUUGAACCGCAUGGUUCAAAAGUGAAAGACGGUCUUGCUGUCACUUAUAGAUGGAUCCGCGCUGCAUUAGCUAGUUGGUAAGGUAACGGCUUACCAAGGCAACGAUGCAUAGCCGACCUGAGAGGGUGGUCGGCCACACUGGAACUGAGACACGGUCCAGACUCCUACGGGAGGCAGCAGUAGGGAAUCUUCCGCAAUGGAGGAAAGCCUGACAGAGCAACGCCGCGUGAGUGAUGAAGGUCUUCGGAUCGUAAAACUCUGUUAUUAGGGAAGAACAUAUGUGUAAGUAACUGUGCACAUCUUGACGGUACCUAAUCAGAAAGCCACGGCUAACUACGUG